rnacentral:ncRNA from 1 species
UCCCUGGUUGAUCCUGCCAGUAGUCAUAUGCUUGUCUCAAAUAUUAAGCCAUGCAAGUCUAAGUACGAGCUCUCGUACAGUGAAACUGCGAAUGGCUCAUUAAAUCAGUUAUGGUUCAUUUGAUCGUACAGUUUACUUGGAUAACUGUGGUAAUUCUAGAGCUAAUACAUGCGAGAAGCGCCGACCUCGCGGGAGGCGUGCAUUUAUCAGACCAAAAACCGGCCGCGUCUUCGGGCGCGUUCGCCUUGGUGACUCUGGAUAACUUUGCGGAUCGCACGGUCUAGCACCGGCGACGGAUCAUUCAACUGUCUGCCCUAUCAACUUUCGUCGGUACGGUAUUUGCCUACCGAGGUUCUUACGGGUGACGGGGAAUCAGGGUUCGAUUCCGGAGAGGGAGCCUGAGAAACGGCUACCACAUCCAAGGAAGGCAGCAGGCGCGCAAAUUACCCAUUCCCGACGCGGGGAGGUAGUGACGAAAAAUAACAAUGCAGGACUCGUUCGAGGCCCUGUAAUUGGAAUGAGUACACUUUAAAAGCUUUAACGAGUAUCCAUUGGAGGGCAAGUCUGGUGCCAGCAGCCGCGGUAAUUCCAGCUCCAAAAGUAUAUAUUUAAGUUGUUGCGGUUAAAAAGCUCGUAGUUGGAUUUUGGGCGCAGGCGGCCGGUCCGUCGCAAGGCGUGUACUGGACGUCCUGGCCUUCCCUCCGGUUCUCCGCCGGUGCUCUUGACUGAGUGUCGGCGGCGGCCGGAACGUUUACUUUGAAAAAAUUAGAGUGUUCAAAGCAGGCUCUCGAGCCUGGAUAAUGGUGCAUGGAAUAAUGGAAUAGGACCUCGGUUCUAUUUUGUUGUUUUCCGGAGCGCGAGGUAAUGAUUUAGAGGGACAGACGGGGGCA